CAGCCGCCGCGGUAAUACCGGCGGCCCGAGUGGCGGCCACUAUUAUUGGGCUUAAAGCGUCCGUAGCCGGGUUGGUUAGUCUCCCGGGAAAUCUGGCCGCUUAACGGUCAGAAUUCCGGGAGAUACUGCCAGCCUAGGGACCGGGAGAGGCCGAGGGUAUUCCCGGAGUAGGGGUGAAAUCCUAUAAUCCCGGGAGGACCACCUGUGGCGAAGGCGCUCGGCUGGAACGGGUCCGACGGUGAGGGACGAAGGCCAGGGGAGCAAACCGGAUUAGAUGCCCGGGUAGUCCUGGCUGUAAACGAUGCGGACUUUGUGUCGGACAAGCUAUGAGCUUGUCCGGUGCCGGAGGGAAACCGUUAAGUCCGCCGCCUGGGGAGUACGGCCGCAAGGCUGAAACUUAAAGGAAUUGGCGGG
rnacentral:rRNA from 1 species